rnacentral:tRNA from 4 species
GCAUUAGUAGCUCAGUUUCAGAGCGCCGGUCUUGUAAACCGGACGUCGGAAGUUAAAAUCUUCCCUUUUGCU